UGUCAGUGGUCACGUAUUCUCCUUAUACUCUCUUCAUCCCUUUUUUGAAACAAUUCAAAGCCCUUCUCAAGCUCACCCUAACACAUGGAAUGCAAGUGUUGUCAGGUUUAUUGAUUCAUUUAGCGACAUCAACACCUACUNCAUUCAGACAUAGAGAACAUACCUCGACGCAAUGGUCUCCCAAUAGCUUCCGUUGACGAAGACAGGAACCCUCACGUCACGGGAGCACCCUCUUGACAGAAACGCCACACGCCGUGAUGUUAACGGACCACCCGCUGAUAGCAACGCCAACACACUGGUGGAACAAACACUUGAACACCACUACGGGGAAGGUUUGCCAAGUGAACCCUAACCACCCAAUGCCACCGGACAGACGGGAAAGGGAGAGGAAGAUAAUGGGAAGCACAAUGGUAGUUCAAUUGGGGACGGGAAUGGAGAGGGAGAGAACGGGGUGCACCACGCAAAAUUGGGGAUUGUCUUACGAAAUUGGGGACGACCUUCUACAAUACCCCCAAUUAUUCAGUUUAAGGAGUCUAGCCUCUUACCGAAGGCCAUAAACCCCUCGGUAAUGCUCUCGAGGCCUUCGGUAAAUACAUUUCAUCAUGCCCCUCGGUAAUUCUCAUUGUGACCGUCGAAAAACAAUAUUUACCGAGGGCCCCAAGGCCUUUGGUAAAAAACCUUCGGUAAUCAGCGAAAUUCUUGU
rnacentral:lncRNA from 1 species